GACGAACGCUGGCGGCGUGCUUAAUACAUGCAAGUCGAGCGAACAGACGAGGAGCUUGCUCCUCUGACGUUAGCGGCGCACGGGUGAGUAACACGUGGAUAACCCACCUAUAAGACUGGGAUAAAUUCGGGAAACCGGAGCUAAAACCGGAUAAACUGUUGAACCGCAUGGUUCAACAGUGAAAGACGGUCUUGCCGUCUCUUAUAGAAUGAUCCACGCCGCAUUAGGUAGUUGGUAAGGUAACGGCUUACCAAGGCAACGAUGCGUAGCCGACCUGAGAGAGGGACGGGCCACACUGGAACGGGGCCCGGGCCCAGAUCCCUACGGGGGGCGCCAGUAGGGAACCUCCGGCAAUGGGCGAAAUCCUGACGGACCAACGCGGAGUGAGUGAUAAGGGCUUCCGGUUCUUAAGCCCCUGUUAUUAGGGAGGAACAAAUGUGUAAGUAAAGAUACACGUAUUGACGGUACCUAAUCAGAAAGCCACGGCUAACUACGUG
rnacentral:rRNA from 1 species